rnacentral:rRNA from 1 species
UACGGGGGGGGCAAGCGUUGUUCGGAAUUACUGGGCGUAAAGGGCUCGUAGGCGGCCAACUAAGUCGGAUGUGAAAUCCCCAGGCUCAACUUGGGAACUGCAUCCGAUACUGGAUGGUUGAAUUCGGGAGAGGGAUGCAGAAUUCCAGGUGUAGCGGUGAAAUGCGUAGAUAUCAGGAGGAACACCGGUGGCGAAGGCGGUUCUCUGGGCAUUACCUGACGCUGAGGAGCGAAAGUGUGGGGAGCGAACAGG